rnacentral:rRNA from 1 species
AUUGAACGCUGGCGGCAGGCCUAAAACAUGCAAGUCGUGCGGCAGCAUGCCCUUCGGGGUGAUGGCGAGCGGCGGACGGCUGAGUAACACGUGGGAAUCUGCCCCGAAGUGAGGGAUAACUGCUCGAAAGAGUAGCUAAUACCGCAUAUGGUCUACGGAUUAAAGCUUCGGCGCUUCGGGAGGAGCCCGCGUAAGAUUAGAUAGUUGGUGAGGUAAUGGCUCACCAAGUCGACGAUCUUUAACUGGUUUGAGAGGAUGAUCAGUCAGACUGGAACUGAGACACGGUCCAGACUCCUACGGGAGGCAGCAGUUAGGAAUAUUCCACAAUGGGGGCAACCCUGAUGGAGCAACGCCGCGUGGAGGAUGAAGGCCUUCGGGUUGUAAACUUCUUUUCUAUGCGAAGAAUAUGACGGUAACAUAGGAAUAAGGGUCUGCUAACUACGUGCCAGCCGCCGCGGUAAAAC